CAUUGGCCAACCUCCGAAGAUUUUCUUGGACAACAACUUUGGGAUCCCUCCGUUUGGAACUACUGAAAAGAUUGAGUGAGCUAAGAGUUGGAGGAAUGGGAGGCUUGCCUUAAAGCAUGGAGCCAAUUGGUUUGUUUGGGGUGGCUCUGAUGAAGUCAUCCCUUGAUGCCACUGACCCACAAGGUCAUAAAACCCCCAUGUUGCAAAAGAUGAGCAGUUCACAAGAGUCAACAGAAAAGGGAAAAACAGGAAGUGAGCAACUUCUGAAGCAAGCCUGGGUUUUCACUGCAGUGCAAACGACAAAGAGUGUUGAAGAUACCUGGGAUCAAAGGAGAUCUGAUAAUAGUUAAGUCUCCUUUCAGAGCUGGUAGGCCUCUCAAGUACGUUUCUAUUUCAUUCUGGAUUUCUUCCAGUUGAUGAGUUGUGGGUGCAUUUAUUUCAGUGGCUGGUUUCAACAGGCUCUCCCUCCAAGCUACCUGAAGAUCUUCAAACUCAAAAUCAUAAACCCCAGUGAAGAGCUGAUCAAUAAAAGCCUUCAUGAACGA